rnacentral:misc_RNA from 1 species
GUACUCUCACACUCUCAUGGCUUUGCUGUGACGAGCUUGGACUUUGGGGGUCUUGCUGGCCUGUGGUCGGCUCCUCUCAAAUGAAUUAGCUUGCCAGUGUUUGGUGGCAUCACGGGUGUGAUAACUAUCUACGCUUGUGGUUUUCCACCAGGUAACCUUCAGUGAUGAAGGUUCGCUGGGGCUCAUAAAUGUGUCUCUCCUCAGCGAGGACAGCUCUUUGAAC